rnacentral:rRNA from 1 species
GUUAUAGGGUCAAGUGACUAAGUGCAUGUGGUGGAUGCCUUGGCGACAACAGGCGAAGAAGGACGUGUAAGCCUGCGAAAAGCUCGGGGGAGCUGGCAAAAGAGCAUUGAUCCCGAGAUAUCCGAAUGGGGAAACCCGGCCCUUUGGGUCAUCCCAUCCUGAAUACAUAGGGAUGAGGAAGCGAACCUGGUGAACUGAAACAUCUAAGUAGCCAGAGGAAAAGAAAUCAACCGAGAUUCCCAAAGUAGUGGCGAGCGAAAUGGGACGAGCCUGCACACCUAAACCAACUUCUUAGCAGAACGGUCUGGAAAGUCCGGCGACAGUGGGUGAUAGCCCCGUAUGCGAAAAGAAGUUGGCGGGUCUAAGUGUGCGACAAGUAGGGCGGGGCACGUGGAAUCCUGUCUGAACAUGGGGGGACCAUCCUCCAAGGCUAAAUACUCGUUGUCGACCGAUAGUGAACCAGUACCGUGAGGGAAAGGCGAAAAGAACCCCGGGAGGGGAGUGAAAUAGAUCCUGAAACCGCAUGCAUACAAACAGUGGGAGCGGACUUGUUCCGUGACUGCGUACCUUUUGUAUAAUGGGUCAGCGACUUACGUUCCGUUGCGAGCUUAACCGAAUAGGGGAGGCGAAGCGAAAGCGAGUCUGAACAAGGCGUUCAGUAGCGGGGCGUAGACCCGAAACCGGAUGAUCUAUCCAUGGCCAGGUUGAAGGUGCGGUAACACGCACUGGAGGACCGAACCCACUAGUGUUGCAAAACUAGGGGAUGAGCUGUGGAUAGGGGUGAAAGGCUAAACAAAUCCGGAGAUAGCUGGUUCUCCUCGAAAACUAUUUAGGUAGUGCCUCGUGUAUCACUCUCGGGGGUAGAGCACUGUAAUCGUUGGAGGGGUCGUCUAGACCUACUUCGCGAUAGCAAACUCCGAAUACCGAGAAGUGCGAGCACGGGAGACAGUCCUGGGGUGCUAACGUUCUGGGACGAGAGGGAAACAACCCAGACCCACAGCUAAGGUCCCAAAUAUAGGCUAAGUGGUAAACGAAGUGGGAAGGCAUAGACAGCCAGGAAGUUGGCUUAGAAGCAGCCAUCCUUCAAAGAAAGCGUAAUAGCUCACUGGUCGAGUCGUCCUGCGCGGAAGAUGUAACGGGGCUAAGCCUAUAACCGAAGCUUGGGAUGCCUACGAUGUAGGCGUGGUAGAGGAGCGUUCCGUAGGCCUGAGAAGGUGUCUCGAGAGGGAUGCUGGAGGUAUCGGAAGUGCGAAUGCUGACAUGAGUAGCGAUAAAACGGGUGAAAAGCCCGUUCGCCGGAAGCCCAAGGUUUCCUGCGCAACGUUCAUCGGCGCAGGGUGAGUCGGCCCCUAAGGCGAGG